AUAUUUAAGGGUCGGCCUUCUUCUGUCUGAGAGGGAUUCAGGUGUUUCUGGUAAGCAGAAUUCAUACUUAAAACUGUAGAUUGUCUCCAGCAGACAGGAACUCAGUUGGAGAAAUGAGAAGUCUGCUGUUGGUAGUGGUCCUGGUCCUGGUCCUGGUCAUCACAGUCACAGCUGAGGAGCCUGAUACCCUGACCAGAGUAAAAAGAGGUCGAUUGCCGAACAAAAAAAAAACAGGUGAAAAAAGCAUACCAAUCAGUAAAAUACUACCACCAGGCCACCAAGGUAUGACUGCCAAGGUAUGACUGCCACCAGGCACGUCAUACCGAAGAAAAGGCCUUAUUGGGGAUGACAGUGGGUCCACCGCCAUUACCAAAUUCCCACCGGGAGUGACAAUGGAUGAUUGGAUGAAAGGCCAAUGAUGUAGGCCUAUUUAAGGCAUGCCCUGCAAACCUUUAACCUAAAUGAAUAAACAUGAAUAUAAAUGUGAGA